rfam:Actinobacteria bacterium 69-20 SCNpilot_cont_1000_bf_scaffold_125, whole genome shotgun sequence.
GCCGGUCCUCGGUAGUGGCCACCGGAGCAGCAUUCCGCCCCGGUUGCUUCGAUCGAUGGCCGGC